UACGUAGGGAGCAAGCGUUGUCCGGAAUCAUUGGGCGUAAAGCGCGCGUAGGCGGCCCUGUAAGUCCGUUGUGAAAGUCAAAGGCUCAACCUUUGAAAGCCGAUGGAUACUGCAGGGCUAGAGUCCGGAAGAGGCGAGUGGAAUUCCUGGUGUAGCGGUGGAAUGCGCAGAUAUCAGGAGGAACACCAAUAGCGAAGGCAGCUCGCUGGGACGGUACUGACGCUAAGGCACGAAAGCGUGGGGAUCAAACAGG
rnacentral:rRNA from 1 species